AAACUUCUUCCCUGGAGAUCUUGUUAAAGUGCAGAUUCUAAUUCUAAUAGGUCUGGAUUUGAGCCUGAGAACUUGAGUCUCUGACAAGCUCCCUGGUAAAACCAAA
rnacentral:pre_miRNA from 1 species